AGAAAAGUAAGCUAUUUAAGCUAAGGGAUUCAUAAUCCCUUGAAACAUUUUAUGUCUUUUCUU
rnacentral:tRNA from 1 species